rnacentral:rRNA from 1 species
AACGAACGCUGGCGGCAGGCUUAACACAUGCAAGUCGAACGCCCCGCAAGGGGAGUGGCCGACGGGUGAGUAACGCGUGGGAACAUACCCUUUUCUACGGAAUAGCUCUGGGAAACUGGAAUUAAUACCGUAUACGCCCUACGGGGGAAAGAUUUAUCGGGGAAGGAUUGGCCCGCGUUGGAUUAGCUAGUUGGUGGGGUAAAGGCCUACCAAGGCGACGAUCCAUAGCUGGUCUGAGAGGAUGAUCAGCCACAUUGGGACUGAGACACGGACCAAACUCCUACGGGAGGCAGCAGUGGGGAAUAUUGGAAAAUGGGCGCAAGCCUGAUACAGCCAUGACGCGUGAGUGAUGAAGGCCUUAGGGUUGUAAAGCUCUUUCACCGAUGAAGAUAAUGACGGUAGUCGGAGAAGAAGCCCCGGCUAACUUCGUG